rnacentral:rRNA from 1 species
CCUGCAAAACGAAUCUAAGUUCCCCCUUAACCCUCUUUUCCCUCCCCAGACAAACCCAACCCAAAUGUGAUAGUUAAGGGCUAUUUAAAGGGGGUACAGCCCCUUUAAAAAAGGACACAACCUCCACCAGCGGAUAACCCCUGUACGCCCAACCCCGUGGGCCUUAAAGCAGCCACCCCCAAAGAUUGCGUCAAAGCUCCAUCAACCAAAAACCCCCAAAACCAAUGCGACUCCCUACACCCACAGCAGGCCAACCUAUAACAAUAGAUGAAUCAAUGCUAGAACGAGUAACCAGGACACUANGUCCCCCCAAGCGCCAGCCUGUAUACCAUUAACAGUAAAACCUCAAUAAUAACCACCCCCACCAUUGAACCCACCCUGUCAACCCAACUCAGGGGCGCACACUGGAGUGAUCAAAAUCUACAAAAGGAACUCGGCAAACCUAAGACCCGACUGUUUACCAAAAACAUAGCCUUCAGCCAAACAAGUAUUGAAGGUGAUGCCUGCCCAGUGACACCAUGUUUAACGGCCGCGGUA